GACGAACCGUCCGAACGUUAUUCGGAAUUACUGGGCUUAAAGGGUGCGUAGGCGGCCUUACAAGUCAGGUGUGAAAUCCCACGGCUCAACCGUGGAACUGCGCCUGAAACUGUAGGGCUUGAGGGAGAUAGGGGUGAGCGGAACUGAUGGUGGAGCGGUGAAAUGCGUUGAUAUCAUCAGGAACACCGGCGGCGAAGGCGGCUCACUGGGUCUCUACUGACGCUGAGGCACGAAAGCUAGGGGAGCGAAC
rnacentral:rRNA from 1 species